UACGUAGGGUGCGAGCGUUGUCCGGAAUUACUGGGCGUAAAGAGCUCGUAGGUGGUUUGUCGCGUUGUUCGUGAAAACCGGGGGCUUAACCCUCGGCGUGCGGGCGAUACGGGCAGACUUGAGUACUGCAGGGGAGACUGGAAUUCCUGGUGUAGCGGUGGAAUGCGCAGAUAUCAGGAGGAACACCGGUGGCGAAGGCGGGUCUCUGGGCAGUAACUGACGCUGAGGAGCGACAGCGUGGGUAGCAAACAGG
rnacentral:rRNA from 1 species